ACAAUGAGCGCAAGCCUGAUGGAGCAACACCGCGUGAGUGAAGAAGGGUUUACGGCUCGUAAAGCUCUGUUGUUAAAGUAAGAACACGUAUGAGAGUAACUGUUCAUACGUUGACGGUAUUUACCAGAAAGUCACGGCUAACUACGUGCCAGCAGCCGCGGUAAUACGUAGGUGGCAAGCGUUAUCCGGAUUUAUUGGGCGUAAAGAGAGUGCAGGCGGUUUUCUAAGUCUGAUGUGAAAGCCUUCGGCUUAACCGGAGAAGUGCAUCGGAAACUGGAUAACUUGAGUGCAGAAGAGGGUAGUGGAACUCCAUGUGUAGCGGUGGAAUGCGUAGAUAUAUGGAAGAACACCAGUGGCGAAGGCGGCUACCUGGUCUGCAACUGACGCUGAGACUCGAAAGCAUGGGUAGCGAACAGGAUUAGAUACCCUGGUAG
rnacentral:rRNA from 1 species